CACCGGGAUUGCUUAGUAACGGCGAGUGAAGCGGCAAAGCUCAAAUUUGAAAUCUGGCGUCUUCGACGUCCGAGUUGUAAUUUGAAGAAGGCGACUUUGUAGCUGGUCCUUGUCUAUGUUCCUUGGAACAGGACGUCAUAGAGGGUGAGAAUCCCGUGUGGCGAGGAUCCCAGUUAUUUGUAAAGUGCUUUCGACGAGUCGAGUUGUUUGGGAAUGCAGCUCUAAGUGGGUGGUAAAUUCCAUCUAAAGCUAAAUAUUGGCGAGAGACCGAUAGCGAACAAGUACAGUGAUGGAAAGAUGAAAAGAACUUUGAAAAGAGAGUGAAAAAGUACGUGAAAUUGUUGAAAGGGAAGGGCAUUUGAUCAGACAUGGCGUUUGCUUCGGCUUUCGCUGGGCCAGCAUCAGUUUUAGCGGUUGGAUAAAUCCUCGGGAAUGUGGCUCUGCUUCGGUAGAGUGUUAUAGCCCGUGGGAAUACAGCCAGCUGGGACUGAGGAUUGCGACUUUUGUCAAGGAUGCUGGCGUAAUGGUUAAAUGCCGCCCGUCUGGAAACACGGACCAAA
rnacentral:rRNA from 1 species